rnacentral:piRNA from 1 species
UAAGAUUCUGACAACCAGGAAGGC